AUUGAACGCUGGCGGCAUGCCUUACACAUGCAAGUCGAACGGCAGCACGGGAGCAAUCCUGGUGGCGAGUGGCGAACGGGUGAGUAAAGUAUCGGAACGUGCCCAGUCGUGGGGGGUAACGUAGCGAAAGUUACGCUAAUACCGCAUACGAUCUAUGGAUGAAAGCGGGGGAUCGCAAGACCUCGCGCGAUUGGAGCGGCCGAUAUCAGAUUAGGUAGUUGGUGGGGUAAAGGCUCACCAAGCCGACGAUCUGUAGCUGUCUGAGAGGACGACCAGCCACACUGGGACUGAGACACGGCCCAGACUCCUACGGGAGGCAGCAGUGGGGAAUUUUGGACAAUGGGCGAAAGCCUGAUCCAGCCAUGCCCCGUGCAGGAUGAAGGCCUUCGGGUUGUAAACUGCUUUUGUACGGAACGAAAAGGUUUGGCCUAAUAAGCUGAGCUCAUGACGGUACCGUAAGAAUAAGCACCGGCUAACUACGUGCCAGCAGCCGCCGUAA
rnacentral:rRNA from 1 species